UCAGCCACUGCCCACAGCCACAACCAAUAGGGGACCUGUGCAUGAGGAACAGCACCCGAGGCUGCCCUCGGUACAGACGGUUGGGAGCCACCUUGUGGGUGCCGGGCACAGAAGACUGAGUUCUCUGGAAGACCAGGCCGUGCACUUGAUCACAAAUGAGUCCUGGGAUUAAAGGUGUGCACUGCCAUGACCAGGAAGAAAUAAAGUUACAAAACGGGCAGGCACCGAGCCAGUGGCAGCACUUGCUUCACAUGGGUUCUGAGUUCAAGUGUCAGCAUUCGGAAAGAACAAAACACGAAAUAAAACGAUUCCGUGCUGGGAAAGCAGGGCCGGCGCCCUGGGGCACUGAAGACUGGACAUUGACGAACAAAUAGGAGUUUUAUUAUCCAGGAAAAUGUAAACCGAGAGCACAAGUUAGGUGGCUCAGAGAGAGAAAUAGAAACGUGGAGAACUAGACAG